GUUGGCGAUGGUGUCUGUGACUGUGAACCACUAAACUGAAGGCGAAAUCUGAGUCUCUGAGACUCAUUAUCUCAAAACAACAAUGUUAAACGCCACACCCUCCACCUUCCACCACUCCACCACUUUCAUUUCCUCUCCUCUUCUAUCAUCAUCUUCUUCUCCUUCUUCUUCUCAUCACUCAUGUCUACUUCUCCGCCAUUUCUCCUUCCACUCCCAACCUCUUCGCUUAAGCAACCUCCGCUGCCACACGCCUUUUCCAUUAAGACCCAAGGUUGUGUUGAUUAAUUAAUUUAAAUUCUAUUUAUUCAAUGUUUUCUUAUCCUUAUGCACUUUUUGUUUUUGACAAGGCGCUGAAAGUGGAUUGUUCCACCGGCGAGCCGUUGAAGGUCAUGAUAUCAGGUGCACCUGCCUCAGGCAAAGGAACACAAUGUGAAUUGAUUGUUCAAAAGAUUGGAUUGGUGCACAUAUCAACUGGGGAUCUGCUAAGAGCAGAAGUAGCAGCUGGGACGGAAAUUGGAAACAAAGCAAAGGAGUUCAUGAAUGCUGGUGGUUUGGUUCCUGAUGAAAUUGUGACAGCUAUGGUGGCAGCGCGAUUGUCUCGCGAAGAUGCAAAGCAAAAAGGGUGGCUUCUCGACGGGUACCCUCGGAGUUUGGGCCAAGCUCAGAGUCUAGAGAAAAUGCAGAUACGACCCGAUGUGUAUAUCGUAUUAGAUGUUCCUGAUGAAAUUCUGAUCGACAGAUGUGUUGGUAGAAGGCUAGACCCAGUGACAGGGAAGAUAUAUCAUCUAAAAUUUUUUCCACCGGAGACUGAAGAAAUCAAAGCAAGGCUGGUAACUCGUCCUGAUGACACCGAAGAGAAAGUCAAAUCUCGCCUAAACAUAUAUAAGCAAAAUGCAGAAGCAGUAUCUUCCUCUUACUCAAACAUAACACAUAAGAUUGAUGGCAACCAUUCAAAAGAAGUAGUUUUCGAAGAAAUUGAAUCUUUACUAUCACAAUUGCAUCAGGAUAAAGUCAAAUUGAUGAAAUCAGGAGAUAAAUCAAUUAUUGGUACAAAAGGACAGACAUCUUUGAGCCAGCUUGUUACAGGGUAAGUGGAGAGGGAUUCCUACUAGACUGAAUAACAUUCCCCAUUCUCGAGAAAUCAGGAAAUAUUUCUAUGAUGAUGUGCUACAAGCUACACAGAGGGCUAUCAAUGAUGGAAAAACUAGGUUGAAGGUUGACAUCAACAUUCCUGAACUGAACCCUGAAAUGGAUGUUUAUCGAAUAGGUACCUUGAUGGAACUUGUUCGAGCUCUUGCUCUUUCUUUUGCUGAUGAUGGAAAACGUGUUAAGGUUUGUGUACAAGGGUCAAUGGGAGAAGGUGCUCUAGCUGGAAUGCCAUUGCAGCUUGCUGGAAGUCGAAAGAUUUUAGAGUUCAUGGAUUGGGGUGAUUAUGGUGCUAAAGGGACCUUCAUCAAUAUUGGUUCUAUAGGUGCUGCAGAGGUUGAGGAGCAAGAUGACAUGUAUAUCUUGGUGGCUCCUCAAAAUGCUGUAGGGAAUUGUAUUAUUGAUGAUCUAAGAGCCAUGACCAAUGCUGCUGAACACAGACCUGUUAUCCUAAUCAAUCCUAGGCUCAAGGAUUUACCUGGUUCUAGUGGUAUUAUGCAAGUGAGUACUAAACCAGCGAGUUGAAGCUUACAAUUUAUUCUAGAAAAAUUCUGGUUAUAACUUUGCCUUCUUAAUCAAUAGACAAUGGGAAGGGACCAGAGACUCAAGUAUGCAGCAACAUUUGAAAGUUGCUACUUCUUUCGGCUUCUGUAUUAUGCAGGAACCCAGUAUCCUAUAAUGGGAGCUAUCAGGAUGUCUUAUCCAUACCCAUAUGAGCUGUAUAAGAGGGUAGAUGAAUCACCUGGAAAGGAGAAGUAUGUUACUUUGUCUACAUUUCCGCAGAGGCCUACUACAGAUGAAAUUAAUGAUGCCUUUCAAGGGAAACCCAGUAAUGAAACUAGAAAAGCCUCAGGAAUUUGGGGCUUCUUGAGUGGUAUACUUUGAGCAUACUGGAAAGCAGCGAGAGAGUAUCAAAGUCUUUGGUUUUCUAUGUAAAUAUUAUUGAAGAGCGAUGAUCAUUAGCUGUAUGAUUGUAGGAAAGUGUCAAAGUCAGAGCUUGUACUACAACUAGCUGGUGGUGGAACAGCUUGUUUAGAAUUAUGAGCAAAAGACAGGGGGACUUAAAGGUUUUAAAAGAUUUUUCAAAUUAUAAAUGAUUUUAAGCUUUUGGGCAUCGGGUGGAACAGCUUUAUUUAUAAACAACUACAUCAAUAAAUAUAAUGGGGGCUUAAAGAAUUGGGAAUUGUGUUGACCUUCUGAGUGUAGUUAUGUAAUCGGAAAUCAGUUAUUUUUCUUGAGGUUACGUAACUGGUGAGGCAUAUGUGCUAAUAGUAUUACUACUGGAUAGUCAAAUGCUCAAUUUAAUGCAAGUUGCUUAUCAGAUCGUAUUUCUUGAUGGCUUGGAUGAGUUGUUUUGGCUUGCUUGUGAAUCUUGGUAAUAAUAAUAUAUUGAAU